rnacentral:rRNA from 1 species
GAUGAACGCUGGCGGCGUGCCUAAUACAUGCAAGUCGAGCGAACAGAUGAGGAGCUUGCUCCUCUGACGUUAGCGGCGGACGGGUGAGUAACACGUGGAUAACCUACCUAUAAGACUGGGAUAACUUCGGGAAACCGGAGCUAAUACCGGAUAAUAUAUUGAACCGCAUGGUUCAAUAGUGAAAGACGGUUUUGCUGUCACUUAUAGAUGGAUCCGCGCCGCAUUAGCUAGUUGGUAAGGUAACGGCUUACCAAGGCGACGAUGCGUAGCCGACCUGAGAGGGUGAUCGGCCACACUGGAACGGAGACACGGUCCGGACUGCUACGGGAGGCAGCAGUAGGGAAUCUUCAGCAAUGGGCGAGAGCCUGACGGAGCAACGCCGCGUGAGUGAUGAAGGUCUUCGGAUCGUAAAACUCUGUUAUUAGGGAAGAACAAAUGUGUAAGUAACUAUGCACGUCUUGACGGUACCUAAUCAGAAAGCCACGGCUAACUACGUG